rfam:Schistosoma mattheei strain Denwood, Zambia genome assembly, scaffold: SMTD_scaffold0000241
AUCCGGCUGACGAAUCCCAAAUUGAACGAAAUGCGCGUCCUGGAU